GAUGAAGAACGCAGCGAAAUGCGAUAAGUAAUGUGAAUUGCAGAAUUCAGUGAAUCAUCGAAUCUUUGAACGCACAUUGCGCCACCUGGUAUUCCGGGGGGCAUGCCUGUCCGAGCGUCAUUACAACCCUCAAGCUCAGCUUGGUGUUGGGCCCCGCCGCCCCGGCGGGCCCUAAAGUCAGUGGCGGUGCCGUCCGGCUCCGAGCGUAGUAAUUCUUCUCGCUCUGGAGGCCCGGUCGUGUGCUCGCCAGCAACCCCCAAUUUUUUUCAGGUUGACCUCGGAUCAGGUAGGGAUACCCGCUGAACUUAAGCAUAUCAAUAAGCGGAGGA
rnacentral:misc_RNA from 1 species